GAAAGAAAUUCCAAAAUCUCCAAAAUAUGUAAGAGUUCAGAGAAAGGUACACAUGCCAAGACCCCAACGGAUUUUAGAGUAAACACCAGAAAGCUGAUCGUGUCCUUAAUGAAAUCUAGGAACAAGAAAUCAAUGAACCAUAGCACAAGCUGUUAAGUGUCCCAACUUGUGAAUAGACAGUGGAACAGAAGUCAUGCUGUGACUAACUAGACAUCAGAGAAAAAUGACCCUCAUGCUUGGGAAACACUAAGGGGCGAUACAGGGGUAUGGGAGGGUGGAGACAGUUAUUUAUGGUGCCACCCACAAGGAAGGAUGGAGCUGGGGAUCCAAGCCUGUGGCUGUUCUGUAAGGUGGUAUCCCAGUGGCCUCCAUGUGUCCCUGUGUAGGUCUAGUUAAGAGUUGGAAUGGCUUGUGGGUUUUAUGAGGCGGAAGACCUGGUGCGUUUCUGUUACAUCACAGUGCUUUCUGCUAAUGCUAUGUCUGUAGCAUGUGAGAACGUGAAGGGCUGAGGAGUGUUCAAAGGGUUUCCUCCCCUACUUGCUCAAUCACCCACUCCCUUCAUGGAAGCCUCACCAGUCUUACGUCUUCUAAGAAGCAGCCUUCUUCAUGCUUGCAGACAUUUUCCAAUUUCUGUUUUCCUGCAUUUGAAGUUUAUCACCCAUGCUCUACAGUUCUGGGCAAAGGUAGUAUGAUGGUUAGUGUUCAUUGUCAACUUGAUGGAUCUGGGGUCACUAGGAGACAAACCCACAGGAGACCUGUGAGGAGAUUAUCUCGGUUAGGUUGGUUGAGGUAGGAAGACCCGCCAUAAGAGUGGAUGACACCAAUCCCUGAACUUCAGACCAGGAUAAGAUGAAGCAAGCUGGCUGAGUAGAAACACCCCUGGCUGUGGACACGUGUAACCAGCUCUUUCACACUCCUGCCGUUAGGACUUCUCCACCGUGAUGGACUGUACCCUGGAACUGUGAGCUGAAAUAAGCCCCUCCUCCUUUAAGGUGUCAGUGUUUCAUCAUAGUAGCAGAAAGAAGCUAAGCCAGUGGGACUGUGUUGACACUUGAUUCAGGUAGGUCCGAGUAGUAGCGACAGAAUCAGAAGCACUCUCUAGCUUUGCAGACUUUGGUGACUCAAGGCAUGUGGCAAGUGACAGGAGCAGCUAGAGGGAGACCAAGGCGAUCAGGUCGGUAUUUGGUGAUUGUAGAUGUGAAACAGAAUUCAGGUCUCCUGGCUCCCCAUGUGGUGUGCUAGGUUCAGAGCCCCUCCAUCUUUCCUGACCUCUCUCCACUCCCCUUCUCUCUUCUUCUUGUGGGUGUGAGGAGAUCUGUUCAAUACCUAAAAGAAGGCAGCCAGGGUUCCCUUCCAACAAUAGAGGUGACUAUCUAUGGCAGGCGUCCUCUAACACUCACUUUCUGAAACUUGUCUCAGAGGGGUUCAGGGCCUGAUCUUUGAGAAGACAUUUUUUUUGCCAGGCUUUUGAGUCAAUGCUAAUUAAACAAUAACUGACACAGGGGUCAGUUGACAAAUUAAUUCAUUUAAGCUGAAAAGGUCAAGUAGGAGAGGCAAUUGUGUUCACUUUUAUGAGUCUGGGCUGGCUGAGGUUGUUCCAUAGCAGAAAACAAUCCCCUUUGCACAUGUGAAUGUGUGCGAUAUACAUUAUAUAUGUAUGUAUAUCUUACGUUGUGCCGUGACUCUUGUGAAUUUACCCCUGGAGUUGGCUCAGCUGGGAGUCAGGGUAGGCAGGUGGUCAUAGGGUUCCUUGGGUUUUCCAGGGAACAUCUCAGAUGGGAAUUUUCUCCGUCUGAAAACAAGGUGAGCGAGGGUCCCAACAGCUCUACAUGUUUUCUACGGCCUGGGUGUCAUUCAACCAGCCACAGUCAACUGUCAACUGGCAAACUUUACCCUUGCCUCUUGGUGUCAUGUAGACCAAGUGUGUUUGGUAUUAGAGCAGAGGAACAUACAUACAUACAAACAAUACAUAUUAUAAAGGGACAUUGAUUAAAUUAGUCUAUGAGGGGCUGAGUAGACCAGUUAUGACUAUCUGCAUGUUGAUCAGAUGGUCCUCCCACUCCACACAAUUCUUAUGUCUUGUGCUGGGGAGGAAUGAAAGCAGUAACAAGUGGAAUGCCCAGAAGAGCUGUGUGGUGAUGACAGAGAGUAGCUUCCCUUUGGCUGGAAUGCUCUGGGGCACUAGGUGAAUGCUUGGAAGAGACCCACUGUCUCUGCCCUCCAUGGUAGCUCCUGAGGGAUCUGAAGAUAGUUCCACAUGCCUUCUGAAUUAUGUACCAGCUUUUAAAAUUUAGACCGGGGAGCUGGCUUGGUUCAGAUCUCUAGAGCCCUGGUAAAAUGCCAAGUGUGCCAACGUACACUUAGAACCCAGUGCUGGGAGGGCAGGGAGGAGGAGUGGAGAGAGGAGGAUCCCUGGGGAUUUCUUUCAUCAGCCAGUCGACUCUGAUUGUUGAGCUUCAGUUUAGUGAAAGACCCUGUCUCAAAAAAUUAGGGGUUAAGACCAGCUGGUAAGAUGGGUCAGCUGGCAAACCUGAGCCAACAUGAAUUCUAUCCCCGGGUGGUGAAGGGAGAGACCUGACUCCACAUGCACUCCAUGGCAUGCAUGAGCACAAGCACACACACCUUGAACAUGCACAUGUGCGCGCACACACACACACACACACACACACACACACACACACAAUAAGUGAAGUAUAACAAAAAGUAAAUAGGAUGGAGAGCAUGACGAAGACACUUGUUGUCAACUGGCUUCCACAUACACACAAAAUUUAAAACAUAUAUAUUCUAAAACUUCAUGUUUUUCUAGUGCGCUGGAUAGUUUUAUGUCAACUUAACAUAAACUAAAGUCAUAUGAGAAGAUGGAAUGUCAAUUAUGAAAAUUCCUCCAUAGGAUGAGGGCCGUAGUCUCUAGGGCAUUUUUUAAUUAAUCAUUGAUGGGGGAGGCCCAGCCCAUUGUUGGUGGGGCUACCCCUGUACUGGUAGCCCUGGGUGCUAUAAGAGAUUAGGCUGAAAAAGCCAGGAAGCAGCACCCCUCCAAGGCCUCUAUAUCAGCUCCUGCCUCCAGGUUCCUGCCCUGUUUGAGGUCCUGUCCUGACUUCCUUCAGUGGUAGAUUACAAUGUGAGCUGGAUAGACCCCUUCCUCCUCAGCUUGCUUUUGCUCAUGGUGGUUCAUCACAGCAAUAACAACUCUAACUCUUCUUGGAGUUUGCAAAUGCAUGACCAUAGCUAUGGCGGACUGCCCUGGGGAUGGGAUUUAAGAGUUGUAAUUAUUCCCUACACACCAGUUUGGCUAGGUACUUCUCUUGCUGCCAUGAAGCAAGCUGUCCGUCAUGGCUGGGGAGUUUCAGUUAUAGAAGCCUGAGGCAGCUAUUCACACUGUAUCCUUAGUCAGGAUACAAUGAUGGGUGCUUAUACUGGGCUACUUCCUGGGUGACCAGGAUCCCAGCUCAGUAUGGUAGCUUGAAUGAGAAACACUGCCCCCCACCCCAAAUUGGACCCAGUUGGUGAAACUCUUUAGAUAUGUUAUGGAACCUUUAAGAGGUGGAGCCUUGCUAGAAGUAUGUCACUGGGGACGUGUGACCUACUUUUUGGCUACUUUAUUGGUUUCUUAUAUCUACUAUCUACAAGCCUUCUCCACCCCCAAUCUCUUUUCAGCCCCACAACAUUAGGUAGGCAAGAAAGAAUGUUAGAGGGGAAGGGGGCGUAGAUCUCUUCAGCCUACUUCCUGCUGAUUAGAGGCAUCGGGUUCUUUGGAACAAGUCCAAUCUUUGUGGUCGGGAUAUCUCCAACCAGCAAUCUAUCUAUCAGCAAAAGCACUAGGAACCAGAAGCAGCGGGAGGAACAGCUGCUGCAGCCUCUUGGGGUGCUGGCAUUUUAUGCCCUCUCUAGAAUCCCCAGAAUUCCAAACAUAACCUAUCUUUGUCUAGCAGAAUCAAGUCAUGCCCCUAGGGCACGAGGCCAAUCAUAGCUGCUGUGGACAAUCUGAAGCGCACCUGGGAUUAAAACCAAAACACAUUCCUAGAACAUAGCUGGGUUUUUAAGGAAACCAGAAUUCUCACUUCAGGGAAGGGCUUUGAGAGUUGAUGCUCUCACCCCCAUCUCCAGUUGGCGCUCUCUGCUUUGCGUUUGUGCUUGGACCUGCGAUCUCUUAGCUCUGACCACCUGGUGCUGUGCCUCCCCUGCCAUUAUGGGCUCUCCCUCUGGAACUGUAAGUGAAGCUAAAUUCUUAGGUUGCCUUGGCCAUGGUUGUUGUGUUUUAUAAACACGAUAAAGAAGCUAGGGCUAUGGUUGGUGGAGGUGUGGUAUGGUGUCGGUGGUAAGGUAUGGGGAAAGGGGUGCUUCUGCAGGCCCAUGCGAAGGCUUCCCUUCCCUCUGAGGUACCAGCCACAUGAUGGUAUAGUAUAGAAUAGAGCUUAUUUGGGGCGUGGGGAGGGAUGUUGAGGGAGUUAGUAGAGGCAGAGAGAGAGAGAGAGAGAGAGAGAGAGAGAGAGAGAGAGAGAGAGAAUAGAUGAAUAGAGGCCAGUCAUGAGCACAUGGAGAGAGAAGUGGGAGAGGAGUCGGGAGAGAGGGGGAAGAGGGUAAGGGAGCAAGAGGAGAAGAGGAGUGAGGAGGGGGUAAGUAGCCCCUUUUGUAAUAAGUCAGGUACACCUGACUGUUGACAGGUAACUGUGGGUCAACAGUGGUACUUUAUCACAACAGCAGAAAACAAAUGCCCUAGGGAAUGGUGUCACCUCCAGUGGAAUGAUCCCCUCUCUUCAAUUAAUGAAGGAGCUGAGGACCAAACCCAGGGCCUUGCACUUGCUAGGCAAGCGCUCUACCACUGAGCUAAAUCCCCAACCCUGGGAGUUUCUUCCGACUCCCAAAUGUUUCAGUGAACAAGAACGUCCCAUUUCCUGGUCAUUUUUAGAUCAUUGUUAGUUCUUACUCCUGCCUAAGAAAUGUAAGAACAGUGGCUUCCUUGAAAUAAUUCACAUCCAUUUCAUGCCAAG
ensembl:lncRNA